rnacentral:snRNA from 1 species
GUGCUCAUUUUGGCAGCAUAUAUACUAAAAUUGGAACCAUACAGAGAGAUUCAGCAUGGCCCUGCACAAGGAUGACACAAAUUCAUGAAUUGUUCCAUAUUUUU